rnacentral:rRNA from 1 species
CUACGGGAUGCAGCAGGCGAGAAAACUUUGCAAUGUGCGAAAGCACGACAAGGUUAAUCCGAGUGGUUUCUGCUAAAGGAACCUUUUGACAGUCCUAGAAACACUGUUGAAUAAGGGGUGGGCAAGUUCUGGUGUCAGCCGCCGCGGUAAAACCAGCACCUCAAGUGGUCAGGAUGAUUAUUGGGCCUAAAGCAUCCGUAGCCGGCUCUGUAAGUUUUCGGUUAAAUCUGUACGCUCAACGUACAGGCUGCCGGGAAUACUGCAGAGCUAGGGAGUGGGAGAGGUAGACGGUACUCGGUAGGAAGGGGUAAAAUCCUUUGAUCUAUUGAUGGCCACCUGUGGCGAAGGCGGUCUACCAGAACACGUCCGACGGUGAGGGAUGAAAGCUGGGGGAGCAAACCGGAUUAGAUACCCCCGUAGUC